rnacentral:tRNA from 1 species
UGUAGCUCAGUGGUCGAGCACUUGCCUAGCAAGUGUGAGGCCCUGGGUUCAAUUCUCAGCA